AUUGAACGCUGGCGGCGGGCUUAACACAUGCAAGUCGAGCGGGGGAAAGUAGCUUGCUACCGGACCUAGCGGCGGACGGGUGAGUAAUGCUUAGGAAUCUGCCUAUUAGUGGGGGACGACAUCUCGACAGGGAUGCUAAUACCGCAUACGUCCUACGGGAGAAAGCAGGGGAUCACUUGUGACCUUGCGCUAAUAGAUGAGCCUAAGUCGGAUUAGCUAGUUGGGGGGGUAAAGGCCUACCAAGGCGACGAUCUGUAGCGGGUCUGAGAGGAUGAUCCGCCACACUGGGACUGAGACACGGCCCAGACUCCUACGGGAGGCAGCAGUGGGGAAUAUUGGACAAUGGGGGGAACCCUGAUCCAGCCAUGCCGCGUGUGUGAAGAAGGCCUUUUGGUUGUAAAGCACUUUAAGCGAGGAGGAGGCUUACCUGGUUAAUACCUGGGCUAAGUGGACGUUACUCGCAGAAUAAGCACCGGCUAACUCUGUGCCAGCAGCCGCCGUAA
rnacentral:rRNA from 1 species